rnacentral:rRNA from 1 species
UACGAAGGGGGCUAGCGUUGUUCGGAAUCACUGGGCGUAAAGCGCACGUAGGCGGAUCGUUAAGUCGGGGGUGAAAUCCCAGGGCUCAACCCUGGAACUGCCUUCGAUACUGGCGAUCUUCGAGUCCGGGAGAGGUGAGUGGAACUCCGAGUGUAGAGGUGAAAUUCGUAGAUAUUCGGAAGAACACCAGUGGCGAAGGCGGCUUUCUGGACGGUAACUGACGCUGAGGCGCGAAAGCGUGGGGAGCAAACAGG